UACGUAGGGGGCAAGCGUUGUCCGGAUUUAUUGGGCGUAAAGAGCGUGUAGGCGGCCAGACAGGUCCGUUGUGAAAACUCGAGGCUCAACCUCGAGAUGUCGAUGGAAACCGUCUGGCUAGAGUCCGGAAGAGGAGUGUGGAAUUCCUGGUGUAGCGGUGAAAUGCGUAGAUAUCGGGAGGAACACCAGUGGCGAAGGCGACUUCCUGGCCUGUUCUUGACGCUGAGGCGCGAAAGCUAGGGGAGCAAACGGG
rnacentral:rRNA from 1 species